AGGCUCAUUCGGCUUGGGGGAUGUUGGCGAAUUUGAUCAUUUGGCCUCAAAAUUUUCAGUUGGAAUGCCGGUGGGAUCUGAAACUGCUUAUGGAGCAAUAUCACAUCCCUCUCUAUUAGUUCAGACUGGAAUCCUAGCGGGACGAAGUCGGAGUCUUUGGAAGCCAUUCUCCUUUGCACGAAGAAACCUUAAAAGUGGAGGAGGAAGAAGGAGAACCUACAGCAAAAGAAGAUGGGGGCAGAAGAAGACAAGGGC
rnacentral:lncRNA from 1 species